UAGGUGAACCUGCGGAAGGAUCAUUA
rnacentral:ncRNA from 217 species